CUGGUCGUUAGUCCAGCUUCAAAUCGGACGGCAGUAGGAAAUUAUUCUCUCACGUCAUUUCCUUCCGCCAGCUCCCAUGUCUGCUACACAGAAACUGCAAUUCCUCCACAGUUCAAAUUGACUGAGGCUGAUAUUUGCAGGGCCAAAUGCCAAUGGCGUCGUAUGACAGCCAUGUGAUGCAAAUUCGCAAGAGCAAUCGUACAUUCUUGUUCUCUCUAUAAUUUAAGUUUUUUUAUAGUUUCUUCCUUGUCCAUUCUUGUUCGUCGAUUUCUUCGGUUUAAUUAUUUCACUUCGUCCUGAAUUCUCCUUUUGAUAUCGCCGGAUUUGACUCUUCGUCGUAUCUCUCAAGCUCCGAACUGACCCCCUCCCCUUUCUCCUGGUACAUUAUUGCACUUCAUGCUUUCAGAUUCAACCAUGGCUCAACAGGAAGAUGGAUGGCCAUUAGGCUUGCGGCUUAUGAACACCAGAGUUGGAUUGGCGGGAAAUCAUGAUCUCUCGGCCUCGGUUUCUUUCAAUACUUUGCGCACUCAUUCUCCUAGUUCCUUCACCGACUCUUCCUCAGAUCUUGAUACAGAGGCAAUUGGUUUUUAGUCAACUGGAUCAUUCUACCAUGACAAGAGCAUCACGCUUGGGAGUCUCAUUGGAGUCUCUAGCCUUCUGGAGCUGUCGCGAAGAUCGACCAAAGGAAACGGAGUGGAAAUACUCAAAGACAAAAAGAAGUACAAGUCCAAGCCAUGGUUGUUUUCUUUAUCUUUAUGCAUUAAACUCCGCCCUGAUGCUGUGAGCUUGAGCAGUUCUCCUUCACUUGAACACUCUCUUGAAGCAGAAAGGAGAGCUCACAACCCGACCAUGUAUGGACCCAAUGAUUACUCGCCUGUUCGUCCUGUUUCUGGAACAAACUCUCUGUUUUCCAGUGAUCAAGUUGCUCCCGUGCAGCCAUUUGCACCGGCGAUCACAGAGGAAAGCAGAAGAUCAAUUGGAGAACUUGCUGAAGAUGGUUACUGUCAAGGGAUUCCUCCACUAUUUUCAUGUCUAUAUUGCCAACUCAUCAAAUAAUUCUUUCUUUCAUUCCUAUAAUAACUUUGAAUGCAUUGUUUCACUACAACCUUUUCUUCAUGGACAAAUGAUGCAUGUCAAAAGUUAUAUGGUCAUUUCUUUCAUUCUACCAUUUGGGUUGUGGGAGACUUAUCACCAUUGAGCCAUUGUGUUUGGAUCAGACAAAUCAAUGUAUUCUCAGCUGCUACGUUCAGUCUGUUUACUGCCAAGUUAGUGAACCACUUUAAGUGACA